rnacentral:rRNA from 1 species
CAUUAGCUAGUUGGUAAGGUAACGGCUUACCAAGGCAAUGAUGCAUAGCCGAGUUGAGAGACUGAUCGGCCACAUUGGGACUGAGACACGGCCCAAACUCCUACGGGAGGCAGCAGUAGGGAAUCUUCCACAAUGGACGCAAGUCUGAUGGAGCAACGCCGCGUGAGUGAAGAAGGGUUUCGGCUCGUAAAGCUCUGUUGGUAGUGAAGAAAGAUAGAGGUAGUAACUGGCCUUUAUUUGACGGUAAUUACCUAGAAAGUCACGGCUAACUACGUGCCAGCAGCCGCGGUAAUACGUAGGUGGCAAGCGUUGUCCGGAUUUAUUGGGCGUAAAGCGAGUGCAGGCGGUUCAAUAAGUCUGAUGUGAAAGCCUUCGGCUCAACCGGAGAAUUGCAUCAGAAACUGUUGAACUUGAGUGCAGAAGAGGAGAGUGGAACUCCAUGUGUAGCGGUGGAAUGCGUAGAUAUAUGGAAGAACACCAGUGGCGAAGGCGGCUCUCUGGUCUGCAACUGACGCUGAGGCUCGAAAGCAUGGGUAGCGAACAGGAUUAGAUACCCUGGUAGUCCAUGCCGUAAACGAUGAGUGCUAAGUGUUGGGAGGUUUCCGCCUCUCA